rnacentral:telomerase_RNA from 1 species
ACUGUCAUCUUCUUUGCGCUGGGUUACGGAUCUAGCUUUCUAACCCUAACUUAGCCUUUCUUAAGGUUUUGCUCAGUCUCUGAACUGGGCAGGUAGUAUAGGUCCAUCCUUUUUUGUUGGUCGUGUUCUUUGGGGUUUUCUUUCGCGAUCGCCGACGUGAGGAUUGGAGCUAACAUCACAAGAAACCUUUGAAGGGACGGUGAACGAGAAAAGUCUUUCACCGUCAAAUACAACUGCUUUUGAUGCUGAAAUGAUGCAAGGCUUCUGGGGAACACAGCCGUGAGUAUUUUCACUUUCUGUGUUCAAGGGUUUGCCCUGUCUCCCUGCUUUUGCUCUUUCUUGCGUUGAUAUCGAAGGCGGUCCUGAUCGACUUUGUGAUAUGGUGUACAGCAACAACGAAUGGUCUUGCAUUCUUGCUUUCGAAUCGCUUUUUGCGGUUGUAUUUGUGAGAGCUGAGAACAUGGCUUUUCGUACAUUU